CAAAUACGAAGCUGUAUCUCGAUCCAGGAUCAUUCUGAGAAAAAAAAAUGUAAAAAAAGAGUAUUAAAUGCAAGGAAAAAAAUCAGAAGCAAGAUAUUCUGUGCUGGGAAUGAAGCUUUUAGCCAGACCACUGUCAUUGGACUCAGCCUCGAGAGAACCCGGUGGUUUUGUAGUUAGACCAAAUAUUCGACCGGAAUACGUGGUCACUAGGACUUCAGGGUGAUCCACCGACCCAAUCAACCCGCCACAUAUGCUGCUUAUGCUUUCACCGGAAUUCUACGAAACGAGAAAAAUGACAAUAAUAAUCUUCAAGUGCGGAUGAAUCAACGAAAAGAAACUCACGUAACGAAAUUUGAGAUUCGGUACUGUAUCCUCGUCAUCGGGGAAUCCAUAAACAUCGACGGUACCGUCCUGUCGACCGACGAGAAUGUCAAGACCAUCGUCCAGCUCCACGAUCUCCGCAAGCGAGGACUGCAAAAACUGAUGACCCGUCAAAAGGCAGAAGAACGACGUCGUAGAGGGUUUCUCCAGCCAGAUAGGAAUCAGCGUCUUUGCAAUUCAG